rnacentral:rRNA from 1 species
GACGGAGGAUGCAAGUGUUAUCCGGAAUCACUGGGCGUAAAGCGUCUGUAGGUGGUUCGAAAAGUCCACUGUUAAAAAUUGAGGCUUAACUUCAAAGAUGCCGUGGAAACUUUCAAACUAGAGUAUGGUAGGGGUAGAGGGAAUUUCCAGUGGAGCGGUGAAAUUCGUAGAUAUCGAGAAGAACACCGGUGGCGAAGGCGGGUCUCUGGGCAACAACUGACGCUGAGGAGCGAAAGCGUGGGGAGCGAACAGG